rnacentral:rRNA from 1 species
UGGGGAAUCUUGGACAAUGGGCGAAAGCCUGAUCCAGCGACGCCGCGUGGGGGAUGAAGCCCUUCGGGGUGUAAACCCCUGUUGCGAGGGAGGAAUAAGGCCUGGAGGAAAUGCCAGGCCGAUGACUGUACCUCGCGAGGAAGCCCCGGCUAACUACGUGCCAGCAGCCGCGGUAAUACGUAGGGGGCGGGCGCUACCCGGAUUCACUGGGCGUAAAGCGGGUGUAGGCGGCUCGGUAAGUCGGGUGUGAAAUCCCACAGCUCAACUGUGGAAUUGCGCCCGAAACUGCUGAGCUUGGGGCCGGUAGAGGGAGACGGAACUGCCGGUGUAGGGGUGAAAUCCGUAGAUAUCGGCAGGAACGCCGGUGGGGAAGCCGGUCUCCUGGGCCGCGCCCGACGCUGAGACCCGAAAGCUAGGGGAGCAAACCGGAUUAGAUACCCGGGUAGUCCUAGCCGUAAACGAUGCCCACUAGGUGUGGGGGAUUAAUUCCUCCGUGCUGUAGCUAACGCGUUAAGUGGGCCGCCUGGGGAGUACGCCCGCAAGGGUGAAACUCAAAGGAAUUGGCGGGACCCCGCACAAGCGGUGGAGCGCGUGGUUUAAUUGGAUGCUGAGCCAAGAACCUUACCAGGGCUUGACAUGCAGGUGGUACCGACCCGAAAGGGGAGGGACCCCAUCCUUUUGGAUGGGGAGCCUGCACAGGUGGUGCACGGCCGUCGUCAGCUCGUGCCGUGAGGUGUUGGGUUAAGUCCCGCAACGAGCGCAACCCCUGCCCUAGUUGCCAUCGGUUCGGCCGGGCACUCUAAGGGACUGCCGGCGACGAGCCGGAGGAAGGAGGGACGACGUCAGUACUCGUGCCCUUUAUGCCCUGGGCUACUCACGCGCUACAAUGGGU